UGCCGACACAGGAGCCAAAUGAGACAGCAGCUGUUUCCGGAGCUGAAGAGGAUUUGUUUGUGCUUAAGGGAGACUCUGUUCAUCUGGAUGUGAAGAGACAUGAAGAACUACAGUUUGACAGCAUAUUAUGGAGAUUUAAUAUCUCUUCUAAAAUAGUGCAAUACACUCAGAAUAUAAAAUAUAUGAAAAAAUAUAAAAACAGUAUUAUGUCAGAAUUUGAUGAGACAAGCUUCUCUCUGCUACUGAAGAAUGUGCAGCAGAAUUACAGUGGGAUCUACAGAGCAACGAUAGUAGAUGAUGAAGGACAGGAGAAACAUGUUGCUACCUACAGGCUCACAGUUCAAGAGGCCCCGCCCAUACCCCAGGUGGUAGUGGCGUUACUCUCCUCUGAUGGAGGGGUCUGUAAGGUGUUGGUGAACUGCUCUGCUGAAGACACCUGGGCCAGCUACACCUGUGACCACGCCCACUGCACACAGGUAGAGAAUACAACCUCGCUGACGGGACUCAACCUCAUCGUCACGGCAACCAACAGGAACAUCCACUGCAGCAGCAGUAACCGGGUCGCCACAAAGACGCAAUCAUA